rnacentral:lncRNA from 1 species
UAUCAUCAUUACAUUCACACAUAUAAUGUUUUAUUAUGUUUAAUUCCAUUUUUGUGUCCUUUUUAAGCUCCUGCCCCCUCACCUGUGGAUCCACCCAAAGCAGAAGAUGGUACAAAAGGGGGCACAAACAUGGUGGGCUGGAUCGUACAGGGAUUCAGUCGCAUUGUGCCACAGCCUGUUGUAAAAGCCAAAGAGGAUGGAUCGGAUGCUGUUCAAAGCAGGGAGACUUAAGGAGAGGAGGACUGGGAGAGAGAGAGAGAGAUUAAAUCAGACACACAUCUACACUUCACAAUAUAUACAUUAAAUAACAUCAUUAAUACUCAUCUGGAGCUGUGAUUCUGAUUCAUAUUGAGGCUUUCUCUAAUAUCAGCAUUUCUAAAUGCCUGUAUUGCUAUACUAAUAUAUACAGUACCAGUCAAAAGACAUUCACAUUAUGCAGAAAAACCCAUUAAAUCAUUUAAUAAACAAAAAAGUGUUAAAAAGAUUUAAGAGCUG